rnacentral:rRNA from 1 species
CCCUUAGAUGUUCUGGGCUGCACGCGCGCUACACUGAUGCAUUCAACGAGUGUAUUUCCUUGCCUGGAAGGGUUGGGUAAUCUCUUUAAAUUGCAUCGUGAUGGGGAUAGACUCUUGCAAUUAUUAGUCUUCAACGAGGAAUUCCUAGUAAACACGAGUCAACAUCUCGUAUUGAUUACGUCCCUGCCCUUUGUACACACCGCCCGUCGCACCUACCGAUUGAAUGGUCCGGUGAAAUCUCGGGACGGCGGCUUGGUCGCUUGCGUCCGACUGCUGAAACUUGAUUAAACCAUAUCAUUUAGAGGAAGGUGAAGUCGUAACA